UGGGACCUCAGGUCAGGCGGGGCUACCCGCUGAGUUUAAG
rnacentral:rRNA from 2 species